rnacentral:rRNA from 1 species
GAUGAACGCUGACAGAAUGCUUAACACAUGCAAGUCAACUUGAAUUUGGGUUUUUAACUUAGGUUUGGGUGGCGGACGGGUGAGUAACGCGUAAAGAACUUGCCUCACAGCUAGGGACAACAUUUGGAAACGAAUGCUAAUACCUAAUAUUAUGAUAAUAGGGCAUCCUAUAAUUAUGAAAGCUAUAAGCGCUGUGAGAGAGCUUUGCGUCCCAUUAGCUAGUUGGAGAGGUAACGGCUCACCAAGGCGAUGAUGGGUAGCCGGCCUGAGAGGGUGAUCGGCCACAAGGGGACUGAGACACGGCCCUUACUCCUACGGGAGGCAGAAGUGGGGAAUAUUGGACAAUGGACCGAGAGUCUGAUCCAGCAAUUCUGUGUGCACGAUGAAGUUUUUCGGAAUGUAAAGUGCUUUCAGUUGGGAAGAAACAAAUGACGGUACCAACAGAAGAAGUGACGGCUAAAUACGUG